AGGGUGACGAGCGCACCGUGGGGCUGUGGAUGCGAAGUCACUAGACCCACUUCAAACCACGGAGCUGGCUGGGAGGCUCACUGAGGAUGGGAGAGGACCCGGGGGCAAGGGACGCUUCUGUCCUCGAGGUAGUGAGGCCUGAAGAGAUGCAUAAAACAAAGCCCGUUUCCAGAUCAUCUUCCCGUUUCUGUGCCCGCUUCCCCCGAGGGGUGGCGGGCGACUGUCUCCACGUCUUCCAACCCGGGGCUCGGGGACGGGGAGUGAUAGGCUGGAGGCCAGGCCUGUUCCCAGACUUUCAAGGAGGCCUCACGCCAGCAACCUGACCUGUGGCUGCAUAGAGAACCUCCAUCCUCCGUGGGGGUCGGGACACGCUGUUGCCAUGGAGACAUUCAGGAGGUUGUCUGGCCCACUGUCACCUGGUUCCCUUCUGGAAGGUUCCCUGUAGUCAGACAAGAAGGGAGAACUUGGCGGGAAUCACAGAGCUGGCUGCGCUGGGAGCAGACACUUCGGCAUGUGCGGCCGACCGGUCUCCUCUGUGUGGCAUGUCAGCUGCCUCUCCAGUGCCAAGUCCCAGCGUGACGGCCUUCAGGUCUUUCCCCACUCAGCCAUCCCUAGGACCUUGGGGUCCCCACAUGUCUCCUGGGCCAGGAUGCCCUUUACAGUCACCCACGCCGUCUUUGGCCCCCUCUGGAGGUUCCCCCAACCUGUCCUCGUCGUUGCCUGGAGCCUUUACUGGAUGUCCACGGCUCAGCCCAGCAGAGGCUGGUGCACCUGCAGGGAGACUUGGACGCCCAGCUUUCAGGAUCCCAAGGACAUCCCCUCCCUCCACCCAGCAGCGAGGCCGAGCGGCGUGAUGGCCUGUGGAUAACCCACCCAGGAACCUGGCAAAGAGGAGGGCACUCGAGGAGCCAGUGUGAGACAGGGUGGGUGUGCGUGGGGCUGACUGAAGCCACCGGGAGCACAGGGUGUGUGGGACGGUGGUGGCUGUUGGGGCAGGAAGGAGAGCAUCGGGGGUGGAGGGGGAGCGGUCUCCACCUUCCGAGAGCGUGGCCCCCCAUCGACUCUAGGACAAGGAAGCCUGGGGUCAAGCUGGGGCUCCGGUUAAAUACAACCAGGGUGGCCACUCUGACGUCCCCUUCACUGGGGGGUCCCCGGGAGUCACACGGUACUGCUGCCUAUCAUGACAAGAACGAAGGCAUCAUUCCCUGGCUUCUCAUAAAAUGUCUACACUCUCAUUGAAAAAUGACUUCACCAUCUCUGGCUUUAAUCCACACUACCAGGUUCUUUUUUUUUUUUUUUUUUUAAAGAUUUUAUUUAUUCAUGAGAGACACAGAGAGAGAGAGAGGCAGAGACACAGACAGAGGGAGAAGCAGACUCCAUGCAGGGAGCCCAAUGCAGGACUCGAUCUCAGAUCCCAGGAUCACGCCCUGAGGGAAGGUAGGAGCCCAACUGCUGAGCCACCCAGGCGUCCCCAACACCACCAGGUUCUUUCUGGUUUUCCCUCUCUUCUCCAACACUGAGGACCGGGCCUGGUUAUCCCUAACAUACGUGUCCCUGUGAUGGUCCCAGAUGUCCUAUUGCUGUCAAUCGGCCCGUGCCCAGAUGCCGACACUCCACUCCCCCACUGCCCCAUGGACAUGGCCCUCACCCGAAUGGCUUUAGCGUCUAAGCCCGCUGUCCGCCCCCUCGCCUCCAAGGUGGACCCCCUCCUGGCCCCACUGGGGCUCCAGCACCCAUCGGACGUGCCCCUUUCCUCUGCUUCGCAUCUGUGCUCAUCCACUGUCAAGGCCAGUAGAAUGCUUAUGCAAGACUCAACACACAGCGCCAUACCUGAGCAGAGUCCAAGAGUGGAUUUACUCUGCACACCA
rnacentral:lncRNA from 12 species